ACCAAAUGAUCAAAUAUUUAUAGGAUAUGGAUGGGCAUGCGGAACAUUAGCUAGUUGGUAAGGUAACGGCUUACCAAGGCUACGAUGUUUAGGGGAUCUGAGAGGAUGACCCCCCACACUGGUACUGAGACACGGACCAGACUCCUACGGGAGGCAGCAGUAAGGAAUAUUGGUCAAUGGGCGCAAGCCUGAACCAGCCAUGCCGCGUGCAGGAAGACGGCCCUACGGGUUGUAAACUGCUUUUAUACGGGAAUAAACCUACUUACGUGUAAGUAGCUGAAUGUACUGUAAGAAUAAGGAUCGGCUAACUCCGUGCCAGCAGCCGCGGUAAUACGGAGGAUCCAAGCGUUAUCCGGAUUUAUUGGGUUUAAAGGGUGCGUAGGCGGCCUAUUAAGUCAGGGGUGAAAGACGGUAGCUUAACUAUCGCAGUGCCUUUGAUACUGAUGGGCUUGAAUGUACUUGAGGUAGGCGGAAUGUGACAAGUAGCGGUGAAAUGCAUAGAUAUGUCACAGAACACCAAUUGCGAAGGCAGC
rnacentral:rRNA from 1 species